GUUGCUCUCGGCAUCCAGGAACCAAUGAAGGAGGUGCAGGUAUAAUGCAUUCCAUUGUACUCCAACUUCCUCCUUACUGUCUUUUCCAUCCCGAGAAUCGGGUGUGCUCAAAUACAGUAAGGUACUUCAAGAUGGCAAACAGAGGGUAACGGAGACACGCUGAUGUAGAUUUUCCAUGUUUCUUGCGUAUUAAGGGGGUUCGCACUAAUAAGCAAUACAUGCAUUAUGUGUACUGUAAAGGUCAACUCGUGGUUAUAUCCUUUUACGAUUCAG
ensembl:ncRNA C07A12.15 ncRNA